GGGCCCGUAGCUCAAGGGUUAGAGCUAACGGCUCAUAACCGUUUGGUUGGGGGUUCGAAUCCCUCCGGGCCCACCA
rnacentral:tRNA from 2 species